GAUGAAGAACGUAGCGAAAUGCGAUAAGUAGUGUGAAUUGCAGAAUUCAGUGAAUCAUCGAAUCUUUGAACGCACAUUGCGCCCCUCGGUAUUCCGUGGGGCAUGCCUGUUCGAGCGUCAUCUACACCCUCAAGCUCUGCUUGGUGUUGGGCGUCUGUCCCGCCUCCGCGCGCGGACUCGCCCCAAAUGCAUUGGCGGCGGCCCUUGCCUCCUCUCGCGCAGCACAUUGCGCUUCUCGAGGCGGUGGGACCGCGUCCAACGAAGCCGACACCCGUCUUUGACCUCGGAUCAGGUAGGGAUACCCGCUGAACUUAAGCAUGUCAAUAAGCGGAGGA
rnacentral:misc_RNA from 1 species